CCCUGGCUCAGGACGAACGCAGGCGGCGUGCCUAAUACAUGCAAGUCGAGCGGAAUGAUGAAGAAGCUUGCUUCUUCUGAUUUUAGCGGCGGACGGGUGAGUAACACGUGGGCAACCUACCUUGUAGAUUGGGAUAACUCCGGGAAACCGGGGCUAAUACCAAAUAAUCCAUUUUGCUUCAUGGCGAAAUGUUGAAAGGCGGCUUCGGCUGUCACUACGAGAUGGGCCCGCGGCGCAUUAGCUAGUUGGUAGGGUAACGGCCUACCAAGGCGACGAUGCGUAGCCGACCUGAGAGGGUGAUCGGCCACACUGGGACUGAGACACGGCCCAGACUCCUACGGGAGGCAGCAGUAGGGAAUCUUCCACAAUGGACGAAAGUCUGAUGGAGCAACGCCGCGUGAGUGAAGAAGGUUUUCGGAUCGUAAAACUCUGUUGUAAGGGAAGAACACGUACGAGAGUAACUGCUCGUACCUUGACCGGUACCUUAUUAGAAAGCCACGGCUAACUA
rnacentral:rRNA from 1 species